rnacentral:misc_RNA from 1 species
AACGCACCUUGCGCUCCUUGGUAUUCCGAGGAGCAUGCCUGUUUGAGUGUCAUGAAAUUCUCAACCUACAAAGCUUUUGUUGGUUCUGUAGUGUUGGACUAUGGAGGCCUUUGCCGGCUGCUUGCAGUGGGCUCCUCUCAAAUGCAUUAGCUUGAUUCCUUGCGGAUCGGCUCUCGGUGUGAUAAUGUCUACGCCGCGACCGUGAAGCGUUUGGCGAGCUUACAGUCGUCUCGUUGGAGACAGCUUCAUUGACCUCUGACCUCAAAUCAGGUAGGACUACCCGCUGAACUUAA